GAUGAACGCUGGCGGCGUGCCUAAUACAUGCAAGUCGAGCGAACAGACGAGGCUCUUGCUCCUCUCACGUUAGGCGCGGACGGGUGAGUAACACGUGUAUAACGUACCUAUCAGACUGAUAUAUCUUCGGGACACCGGAGCUAAUCCCGUAUAAUAUAUUGCUCCACAUGGUUGAAUAGUGAAUGUCGGUUUUGCGGUCACUUAUAGAUGGAUACGCGCCGCAUGAGCUGGUUGGUACGUUAACGGCUUUCCAAGGGUACGAUGCGUAGCCGACCGGCGAGGGGGGUCGGCCACACGGGAGCUGAGACGCGGACAAGGCGCCUGCGGGAGGCAGCAGUAGGGAAUCUUCCGCAAUAGGCGAAAGUUUGACGGAGUAACGCCGCGUGAGUGAUGAAGGUCUUCGGAGCGUAAAACUCUGUUAUUAGGGAAGAACAAAUGUGUACGUAGCUAUGCACGUCUUGACGGUACCUAAUCAGAAAGCCACGGCUAACUACGUG
rnacentral:rRNA from 1 species